GCAGUCGAGCGAGAGCUCUUCUCCCGCAAGGGAGGGGAGUUUCUAGCGGCACGGGUGAGUAACACGUGGCAACCUACCCUGUCGUGGGGAAUAAGCCCGGGAAACUGGGUCUAAUGCCGCAUGAGGUCACCGAAGGCAUCUUUGGUGAAGAAAGCAGCAAUGCGCGACGGGACGGGCCCGCGGCCUAUCAGCUUGUUGGUGGGGUAACGGCCUACCAAGGCUAUGACGGGUAGCUGGUCUGAGAGGAUGAUCAGCCACACGGGGACUGAGACACGGCCCCGACUCCUACGGGAGGCAGCAGUAAGGAAUCUUCCGCAAUGGGCGAAAGCCUGACGGAGCGACGCCGCGUGUGGGACGAAGUCCCUUGGGAUGUAAACCACUGUCGGAGGGGAAGAGAACGGACGGUACCCUCCAAGAAAGCCCCGGCUAACUACGUGCCAGCAGCCGCGGUAACACGUAGGGGGCAAGCGUUACCCGGAUUUACUGGGCGUAAAGCGCACGUAGGCGGCUGGUCAAGCGUGAUGUGAAAUCCCUCGGCUCACCGAGGAAUGCGUCGCGAACUGGCCUGCUAGAGUGCAGAGAGGGUGGUG
rnacentral:rRNA from 1 species